AUUCGAAUCUGUUAACCGGUCAAACCCUUCUUUCCCCUUCGCUUUCUCCUCCUUUUUACCAGGGGCGAUCGACUGUUCGAGCUUGCAGCAGGGCGGAGGAUCUGAAACGGAGGUUGAACAAUCGGUUCCACGAGCUUCAAGACGAGAUUAGAAUCGCGGAGGUAUGGAUUGCAUAGGAAUUUGAGUAUUCGAUGAUUUGAUCUUCUUUUGCUCUUUGAUUUUAGACGCAAUUUUCGAAUUUCCGAUGAGUUUUGAGUUUCGAUGUGAUAUGAACCAAAUUAGAGUUUCUCGUGUUGAAUGGAUGAAAUGUUGAUUAUCUUUUUGACUAGAUAAAGAAAAAGCCCUAUGGAUGGGAUAUCACGAGAUAUAAGUUCUUCAAAGGAUAGUUU